rnacentral:rRNA from 1 species
UGCAAGUCGAGCGGUAAGGCUCCUUCGGGAGUACACGAGCGGCGAACGGGUGAGUAACACGUGAGCAAUCUGCCCUUCUCUUUGGAAUAAGCGCGGGAAACUGCGUCUAAUGCCGAAUACGACCUCCUUACGCAUGUUUGGAGGUGGAAAGCUCCGGCGGAGAAGGAUGAGCUCGCGGCCUAUCAGCUUGUUGGUGAGGUAAUGGCUCACCAAGGCAUUGACGGGUAGCCGGCCUGAGAGGGUGACCGGCCACACUGGGACUGAGACACGGCCCAGACUCCUACGGGAGGCAGCAGUGGGGAAUAUUGGACAAUGGGCGAAAGCCUGAUCCAGCAACGCCGCGUGAGGGAUGACGGCCUUCGGGUUGUAAACCUCUUUCAGCAGGGACGAAGCGAAAGUGACGGUACCUGCAGAAGAAGGACCGGCCAACUACGUGCCAGCAGCCGCGGUAAUACGUAGGGUCCGAGCGUUGUCCGGAAUUAUUGGGCGUAAAGGGCUCGUAGGCGGUUUGUCGCGUCGGGAGUGAAAACUCAGGGCUCAACCCUGAGCGUGCUUCCGAUACGGGCAGACUAGAGGUAUGCAGGGGAGAACGGAAUUCCUGGUGUAGCGGUGGAAUGCGCAGAUAUCAGGAGGAACACCGGUGGCGAAGGCGGUUCUCUGGGCAUUACCUGACGCUGAGGAGCGAAAGCAUGGGGAGCGAACAGGAUUAGAUACCCUGGUAGUCCAUGCCGUAAACGUUGGGCGCUAGGUGUGGGGACCUUCCACGGUCUCCGUGCCGCAGCUAACGCAUUAAGCGCCCCGCCUGGGGAGUACGGCCGCAAGGCUAAAACUCAAAGGAAUUGACGGGGGCCCGCACAAGCGGCGGAGCAUGCUGAUUAAUUCGAUGCA